rnacentral:rRNA from 1 species
AUUGAACGCUGGCGGCAGGCCUAACACAUGCAAGUCGAACGAGUGGCGGACGGGUGAGUAAUGUCUGGGAAACUGCCUGAUGGCGGGGGAUAACUACUGGAAACGGUAGCUAAUAACGCAUACCAUCAGAUGUGCCCAGAUGGGAUUAGCUUGUUGGGGGGGUAACGGAUCACCAGGUCGACGAUCCCUAGCUGGUCUGAGAGGAUGACCAUCCACACUGGAACUGAGCCACGGGCCAGACUCCUACGGGAGGCAGCAGUGGGGAAUAUUGCACAAGGGGCGCAAGCCUGAUGCAGCCAUGCCGCGUGUAUGAAGAAGGCCUUCGGGUUGUAAAGUACGUUCAGCGGGGAGGCGUUACCCGCAGAAGAAGCACCGGCUAACUCCGUGCUAGCCGCCGCGGUAAUAC